rnacentral:rRNA from 1 species
CCAGACUCCUACGGGAGGCAGCAGUGAGGAAUAUUGGUCAAUGGUCGGGAGACUGAACCAGCCAAGCCGCGUGAGGGAUGAAGGUACAGAGUAUCGUAAACCUCUUUUGUCAGGGAACAAAGGCGGGGACGCGUCCCCGGAUGAGUGUACCUGAAGAAAAAGCAUCGGCUAACUCCGUGCCAGCAGCCGCGGUAAUACGGAGGAUGCGAGCGUUAUCCGGAUUUAUUGGGUUUAAAGGGUGCGCAGGCGGCCUGUUAAGUCAGCGGAAAAGGCCGGGGGCUCACCCCCGGCGAGCCGUUGAAACUGGCGGGCUGGAGUUGGAGAGAAGUACGCGGAAUGCGCGGUGUAGCGGUGAAAUGCUUAGAUAUCGCGCAGAACCCCGAUUGCGAAGGCAGCGUACCGGCUCCACACUGACGCUGAGGCACGAAAGCGUGGGUAUCGAACAGGAUUAGAUACCCGCGUA